CCAGCCCUGCCCUCUAUACCCGAUUGGCCAGCGCCCCGCCCCUGCACAUUCUGAUUGGCGGAGAGAGCCGCCGCUCCGAUGAGUGACUCACCUUAGCCAGGUGCAAACCCAGCCCAUUACUCACCCCAGAGUCGGAUUGGCGCCUUGCGUGUCCGAGCCGCCUCUGAUUGGCCCCAGGAGGUUGCCUCGGAUUCCUCACCUUCGGCAGGUGAGAGCCCCCUGAUUGGGCUGUGGUCCUGAAGUAGGGACUUUCUGACUGGCUGGGUUCUGAGUUGGAGAUGGAGGACAGCACUGUACCUCUAGGGAGAAGCGUGCGGCCGUGCGGCUCUCGGGGACUGGGUUGGUUUGUUUAAAUGUAAAUUGCUUGCCGCUCCAUAAACCUUGGUUCCAUCCUAUGGCCUGUGAGCAACACUCACUUGUACGGGAGGGUGCGGGGAGGAGACCGGGCUAGGAGUUACUCUGUCCACCCCACCCAGCACCCACGGACUUUGAACGCUGAGCUGCGGGAGGAGGAAAGGGACAAGGCAGGGGAAGCAGCGCUCGGCUCCGAAGUGGGAAAAGCAGAAUUAAAGAAGAACUUUAAACAGAGGUAAACAAAACACACCCGGAUGAUAGGAAGUGAGCCACGCAUGGUCUGUCCAUAUCUCUGGGUGGCCGAUGUCCUACGUUUCAAAUUUAUCUUCUCGCUGUGACUAAUACUUGGGUGCUAAGCCUCCCUUUUUCUAUAGAGGGUUGAUACCCAAGCUCCCUGCUACAUCACUUUUAUUUGAAGUCCAUGCUCAACGCCUUUAUUAUUAUCUGUAGUUUCCGUUUUACAAUGAUUUAAUUCCAACUGUGCAAUAUAUCUUCAGGGUGGCUGUGGGAAAAUUCCAUGAAAAAAAUUCUCAUUGCAAGUGAAAAGUCCCUAUUUUCAUUCAAAAGAAUGGUGUCUUUGCCUUUUUGCCUCUUUCACCUUUUUAAAAAAUUUUAAUUAUUUUCAUUUUUUAUUCAAAAGUCAGGGAGACAAAGAGACAGAUGGAGAGUGCUGGUUCCCCACCCAAAUGCCUACACCAGCCAGGUCUGAGCCAGGCCAAAGCCAGGAGCCCUGAUCUCAAUCUGGGUCUCCCACUUGAUGGCAGGGACCUAAGUGUCUGAGCCAUCACCUACUGUGUCCCAGGGGGGCAUUAGCUGGACGCUGGAUCAGAACUACUUCCUCUGGGAUAUGAGUGUGCCAAGUGCCAACUUAACCUUUACUCACAUUCCUUUGUUCACAUGUCUUUUGAUGAAAGUUCACUUCCAGUUCCACCCAACUAAAAGCAGUGUUUGUCAAGCAUCUACUGGGUGCUGUAGGGAAAUGCAAAUAAAUAUAAAUGACAAUUCCUGACUUCAAAGGGUUGACGAUCUAUUUCUAAGGCUAAUACAGGAAAUAAGACAAUAAGUAACCCAAAGAGAAACAUCCUAUCACUACAUUGAAACAAGUAUCUCAGUGCCUGCCAAGGGGGAAGUUCUGUUCUUUACCCUCAAGGAAAUUUAAAGUCCUGCAUAGAGAGACAUAUAUACAAAGUAUAAUAGUAAAGAGUAGGGGGAGAGAAGAGAUUGGAGAAGGAAUCACUGCCGACUGUGAUUGUCAGAGAAAACUUUAAGGUGGGGCAACUUGUGGUUUAAAAGAACUCAAAGGCUGGUCAUAGUCUUUAGAUAAGAAGAGGUAAUCUUAGAGAUCAUGUAAGCCAAGCUCUCACCCCAUGUAGGAAAGAUUCAUGCAACCACUAACAGUUUAUACAUACUCUGUGUAAACUCCUAAAAUUCUCGAAGCAGACCAUUCUGCUUUAUGUCCAACUGUUUAUUUAUUUAUCUAUUUAUUUGAGAGGUAGAGUUGCAGAAAGAGGCAGAGGCAGAGAGAGAGAGAGAGAAGUCUUCCAUCUACUGGUUCACUUCCCCAGAUAGCCUCAACAGCCGGAGCUGAGCCAAUGGGAAAUCAGGAGCCAGGAGCUUCUUCCAGGCCUCCCACAUGGGUGCAGGGGCCCAAGCACUUGGGCCAUCUUCUACUGCUUUCACAGGCCACAACAGAGAGCUAAAUCAGAAGUUGAGCUGCCCAGACUGGAACUGGCACAUAUGGGAUGCCAGCACUGGAGGUGGCGGCUGUACCUGUUACGCCACAGUGCUGGCCCCUAUAUCCAAAUCUUAAUUGUUAAAACAUCCUCUCAACCAAUUAGACCCUGCCUCUAAGAACUUCCAACCAUUCCUCUCUGAAGUUAACACAAAAUGUCUAAGAAUUCUUGGCCAUUGAGAGCAAUUUCUUCCAUUUUUUGUUUUUGUUUAGAUUUAUUUAUUUAUUAAUUUAUUUAAAGGCAGAACAAGAGGAAAAGGGGGGAUAAAGAGACAGAGAUAUUCCACCUGCUGGUUCGCUCCACAAAUGUCCUUAACAGCAAGGUCUGGUUCAAGUUGAAGCCAGGAGCCAGUAAUUCCAACCAGGUCUUCCAUGCGGGUGGCAGGGGCUGAGGCACUUAGACCAUCUUCUGCUGCCUUCCCAGAUGCAGUAGCGGGAAGCUGGAUCAGAAGCCAAGAAGUCAGCUCUCAAAACAGGCACUCCGAUUUGGGGUGCCAGAGUGGCAAGUAGCAGCUUAACCCACUGUGCCACAAUGCCAGCCUCACUGUCUUCAAUUAUUUAUAUACUUAAAGGCAGGAAGAGAAAGAAACAGACAGAUUGCUCAUCUGCUCGUUCAUUUUGCAAAAGCACACAAUAGCUAGAGUUGAGCUAAGCGGCAGCCAGAAGCCAGGAACACAAUCCAGGUCUCCCGUGUGGGUGGCAGAGACCCAGCUACUUGAGCCAUCACCUGCUGCCUCCCAGGGUCUGCAUUAGCAGGAAAUUGGACUGGGAGUAGAGCUAGGACUUGAACCGAGGCACUCUGACGUGCAAUGUGGACAUCCCAAGCUCCGCCAAAUGCCUGUCCCUAUUUUGAGACACUUAUGAGCCUCGUAAACCUUUCUUUCUCUGAGCCAAAUAUUUUUAUAUCCUUUCAGUUGUCUUCAUGAGACACAGGUGCAUAACCCUCCCAGAAGGACUCUCCCUCCUCUGGACAACCCCUUGUUUUGUUACUAUACCAAGAAUGGAACCAGGCACUGGAGAAGACAUCUCCCCAGGAGAUAGAUAGUUCUCAAGUCAGAUGCAAUUCCCUAACCUCUAUCUUUCUGUCAUUGGCCGGUUCACAUCUCUCUGAAACUUUUUGCAUCCAGAAGGUACUUGUGAUGACAGUUAUAUCACUUACCUUAUAGCAAAGUAAAGAUUAAAUUAUAUGUAAUAAUGUAAAAGCAAAGUACAGCGCCUACCACAUUUUAAGCAUUGAAAUGAAAGCUAUCUUCAUCAUUUUUACUUACUGUCUAAACAUGCAUUUCCAGGGGCCGGCACUGUGGUGCAGCGGGUUAAGCCAAAGCUUGCAGUGCCAGCAUCCCACAUGGGCAGCAAUCUGAGUCCCAGCUGCUCCGCUUCCUAUCCAGCUCCCUGUUAAUGAGCCUGGGAAAGCAGUGGAGGAUGGCCUGAGUACUUCGCCCCAGUCACCCAUGUGGAAGACCUGGAAGAUGCUCCUGGCUCCUGGCUUUGGCCUGGCCUAGUUGCAGUCAAUGCAGCCAUUUGGGGAGUGAACCAGCUAAUGGAAGAUCUCUGUCUCUCCUCUCUCUGUAACUCUGCCUCUCAAAUAGGUGGAUAUAUCUUUAAAAUAAAAUAAAAAUGCAUUCCUAAAUAUAGUAGCCAUAUUACACUAUUGAAUUUGUUAUAUCCAAUUUGCAACAAACAAAAACACAUAGCUUUUUAUUUUUACUUGAACUGCAAUUAAACCAUUCUCCCAUAUGCCAUGCUUGUGCACUUUUUUUUUUUAAGAUUUAUUUAUUUAUUUGAAAGGCAGUUACGGGGGGGAGGAGUAGAGGGAGAGUCAGAGAGUCUUCCAUCUGCUGGUUCACUCUCCAAAUGGCCACAAUGACCAGAGCCAAGCCAAUCUGAAGCAAGGAGCCAGGAGCUUCUUCUGGGUCUCCCAUGUGGGUGCAAGGACCCAAGAACUUGGGCCAUCUUCCACUGCUUUCCAAAGGCACAUUAGCAGGGAGCUGGAUCAGAAGUGAAGCACUCUGGACUUGAACCGGCACCUAUAUUGGAAUGCCAGCACUGCAGGCAGCUCCUCAACCCACUAGGCCAUAGCGCCAGCCCCAUGUAGUUGUUUUUUAACCAAAGUACAUUUUUUUAAGAUUUAUUUAUGUCUUUGAAAGAGUUACACAGAGAGAAGGAGAGGCAGAGAGAGAGAGAGGUCUUCCAUCCCCUGGUUUACUCUCCAGACAGCCGUUGCAAGACCUAGGAGCCAGGAGCCUGUUCCAGAUUUCCCACGCAGGUGCAGGGGGGCAAGGACUUGGGCCAUCUUCUACUGCUUUCCCAGGCCAUAGCAGAGAGCUGGAUCAGAAGUGGAGUGGCCGGGACUCAAACCGGUGCCCAUAUGGGAUGCCGGCACUGCAGGAAGUGGCUUUACCAGCUAUGCCACAGUGCUGGCCCCAUCAGUUGGGUUUGAUCGUAGCCAGAGUUUGCCUAAGCAAGUGAAAAAGGGAACAACAAGGAUGCUAAAUAGGUUUGCAAGGGAAUGACUUUUUUCUAAGUCUCUGUUUUCUUUCCAGAGUUUCUUUUGCUAACCUGAGCAAUUGUAAGUAUACAUCCAUGUUACCUUACUUUUCUUUUUGCACAAAAGGUAGCAUAGUACAAUCUUCUCACCUAACAGUAUAUCUUAGAGACCUUUUAUGAGUACACCAAGAGCUUCCUCAUUCAUAACAUCCUUUUGUAUACUUAUAAUGUUUAUUUAGUCAGAAUCUAUGAACACUUGAGUUACUUCCAGUCUGUGGCUAAAUAACAUCAUAAUGAAUAAACACAUGCAUAAAUCAUUAAAUCGUGUAACAUAUGCACAGACCAUUCUACAUAGAUGCAGCGCACCUGUCGGGUAAAUCUCCAAAAUUGUGAAGACUGAGUCGAGUGUAUAUUCAGGUAUUAUUUUUUUAAAGAUUUAUUUAUUUAUUUAUAAGUCAGAGUUACACAGAGAAAGACAAGCAGAGAGAGAAGUCUUCCAUUCACUGUUUCACUUCCCAAUUGGCUGCAAUGGCUGGAGCUGCACUGAUCCGAAGCCAGGAGCCAGGAGUUUCUUCCAGGUCUCCCACAUGGGUUCAGGGGCCCAAGGACUUGGGCAAUCUUCUACCACUUUCCCAGGCCACAGCAGAGAGCUGGAUCAGAAGUGGAGCAGCCGGGUCUUGAACUGGCAUCCCUACGGGAUGCUGGUACUGCAGGCAGCAACUUUAACCUGCUACACCACAGCACUGGCCCCAAGGUACUAUUUUGAUUAACGUUGAUAAUUGUCUUCCAUAGGGAUUGCAUCAAUUGAUAUUUGCAUAAUUUCUUAGCAUGCCUGUUUUCCUGCAGUCUUGCCAAACUUUUAUCAAAUGUUUGAAUUGUUGCCAAUAUGAUAAAGGUAAAUUGAUACUUUUAAUUUGCAUCUCUUAUGAGUCUGCUGAGCCUCUCCAUGGUGUAAGAACCUUCAUAUCCUCUGAACUGUCUCUUCAUAUGCUUUGCUCAUUUUAAAAUAUUUACAUGGUUAUUUGAAAGGCAGAGUGACACAGAGAGGCAGUAAAAGAGGGAUCUUCCACCCACUGGUUCACAACUCAGAUGCUCACAACAGACUGAUCUGGGUCAGUCUGAAGCCAGGAUCCAGGAGUUUCUUCUGGGUCUCCAAAGUGGGUUCAGGGUCCAAGCCCUUUGGCCAUCUUCUGCUGCUUUCCUAGGCACAUUGGCAAGGAGUUGGAUAUCAAGUGGAGCAGCCAGGACUUGAACUGGUGCCCAUGUGGGAUGCUGGCACUGCAGGCCAUAGCUUAACUAGCUGUGCCUGUUAGCCCUCUCCCCCUUUUUUUAAUUGAGAUACUUAUAUUUUUCUUAUUCAUUUAUUUGUGCUCUUUAUAUAUUCAAGGAACUAUCCCUUCAUGUAGGAUCAAAGUUAAAUUUUCUCCCACAUUUACUGCUUGCUUUUCGACUUUCGUGUGUGUGUGUGUGUGUGAGAUGCAGAAGGUUUUCGCUUGUUUAUUUUGUACUCAUCCUUUUCUUUUAUGGCUUCUAAAUUUGAACUCAUAAUUAGAAGUUUUUAAUGCUUUAAGGUAAUGAAAACAUUCUUCUUUGUAGUUUUCAUUUUCACUUUAAAUCUUUGAUCCAUCUAAAAUUUAUCUUUGUAAACAUAUAGGGUAAGGAGCCCAUUUCUCCCUCCACUUAUAUUGUAUCAUUCAUUACUAAUAAUUUAUGAUAUUUUUAAUAGUUUGUUGGACUUGCUCUCCUCACUGAUGCCCCUUUUCAAACUUUUUGGGCCGUGCUUGUUUCUCAUUAAGCUGACAUACUUUUGAAGCUGAGUCUUCCUAUCCAAGAACCAUUUAAACCUUUUCAUUUGUGCAAGUCUCCUGUUAAGGUCUUUUCAGUGCACUGUUAACAUCUUCUUCAUAUAGGUAUAGAACUUUCUUGAUAAGUACAUUCCUAGUUUUACAAAGGAAUGAUGAUAAUGAACCAUACCUAGAAUCUAAAUUGGAUUAGGAGGAAAAUAAAGACAUGAAGAAAAUAAUAAAUUGUGGAAAUUUGAAAAUGUUGGGGCUGGUGCCGUGGCUCACUUGGUUGAUCCUCUGCCUGCAGCGCCAGCAUCCAUAUGGGCACCAGGUUCUAGUCCCAGUUGCUCCUCUUCCAGUCCAGCUCUCUGCUGUGGCCCGGGAGUGCAGUGGAGGAUGGCCCAGGCGCUUGGGCACCUGCACCCGCGUGGGAGACUAGGGAGAAGCACCUGGCUCCUGGCUUCAGAUCGGCACAGCACGCCGGCUGUGGCGGCCAUUUGUGGGGUGAACCAACGAAAGGAAGACCUUUCUCUCUGUUUCUCUCACUGUCUAACUCUGCCUGUCUAAUAAUAAUAAUUAAAAAAAGAAAAUGUCAAUUAAUUGGAGGACUUGAUAUGUUGAGGAAUAUGACAGGAAUGGAAAUGCCAGUAGAAUGAGUCAGCUGGAAGGAUUUCUCGCUGGGAAAUAUCAUCAGGUCUUAUUUCUGAGUACUUCCCAUUCUCUUGCUUCAUGUUCUCUUUAGAGUCUCUGGCCAUGAACUGUUUUCCUUGAACUUUAAAAAUCUGCAGAGCCAGCGCUAUGACGUAGCAGGUAAGGCCACCACCUGCAGUGCUAGCAUCCUAUGUGGGCGCCGGUUCAAGUCACAGCUGCUCCACUUCCCAUCCAGCUCUCUGCCAUGGCCUGGGAAAGCAGUAGAAGAUGGCCCAAGUGCUUGUACCCCCUGCAGCCACGUGGGAAACCAGGAAGAAGCUCCUGGCUCCUGGCUUCAACUCAGCCCAGCUCCAGCCAUCGUGGCCAUUUGCAGCGGAAGAUGGACCAAGUCCCUGGAUCUCUGCACCCACAUGGGAGACCCGGAAGAAGGUUCUGACUCCUGGUAUUGGCUGACACAGCCCUGACCAUUGCAUCCAUUUGGGGGAUGAACCAGUGGAUGGAAGAUCUCUCCCUCUCUCUCGGUAACUCUACCUUUUGAAUCAAAUAAAUAAAUCUUUUUUUUUUUU